UUCAACAAAACUUAAAACACCAGUGGUCUUUUACGACAAUGCUUAACACACUAAUGGUCCUUAUGUUAAACGUCCAGUUGAUUCUGUUAAAAAAAUAAGGGUUACGUCCAUGUAAAAUUACAAAUACACCGUUACUGAACUUUUUGUUUAUUUUAAAAUGAUAUAUAAUUAAAAAAGAUAAAUGGUAAACACAUCACACAAACACAGACACACCAUCUCUCUCACACCCUCUCUCUAAAAUCACCACCAAUGUCACCCACCUCAUUAUCUUCUUCUUCGAUCACUAUCCUGCAACUUGAUAAACAUACACACAAAGGUGAGUUUGGGUUUAAAAUCGAAUGCAAGGUGUUUGGGUUUUGUGGAUUCUAGAUUUGGAACUAAAGAAUGGAUGCUAGGAUGAAUGUGAGCUAAUUACUCGAUUCGAAUGAUGGUCAAAAAAUGAGUAUGAGGUCUUACCAUCUCCCACCUGACCUUAAUCCAUAUUUCGUAGGGUGGGUGGGUUUAUGGAAGCUCUCACUUCUUUAUCAGCUUGAUCACGACCACCAAAAAUCGCAACCCCAUCUUCUAAACAUCAUCGAUUCCAGGUCCUCGAUAUUGAAGGUACUUUGGAUGAUCGUGGGAAGGCGAAGGCAUGAUCGUACAGCUCCUCAUAUUUUUAUGAUUUUGAUCUCUAUGAUACUCUAACAUGAAAGUAUUUUGCAAACACUUUGUAUUAUUAAUGGUUUUUAAUUGGUUGAAAAUGUUUUAAAUUGGCUUGAAUUUUAUGGAUAUUACAAGAA